CCUGACGUUUCUCAGAACCGAGUCGCCAAUAAUCAGAGUUUGUUUAUCAGCGGGUGCCUCGAUGAGUGUAGAGAAUCUAUUUGAAACGUGAGCUGGUGGCUCUUUAAUCGUGGGCUUUUUAAGACUACCACUAUGCCCCCUCCGGACCGUCACCCAGCUGCCCUGGGCUCCCUGCUGCACGGGACUAGUCAGGGGGCUGCUAGUUAAGGCUAGGCUACGUGCUAAGCUAGGUGGCUCCGCGGCUAGCGGUAGCCGGCUAACUACAGCUAGCGGAGUUUCUAAGCUGCUGAGCCGAACUUCUAAGUCGCUAAGCCUCGCCUCCAUCGCUACCAACACACUACAUUUAUUACAAGUACCUCUACUGUUAAGGGAGGCAGAGGAGUAAGUAAACAUAAGACACUCGGAGCAAGAGAGAGCAGUGGAGCAACAGGGAGAGAGAGAGAGAAGACAUCGCUGCCAUAGAGCUACGAGGGUUGUCCCCCUUCAGAGUUAGAAGCCUACUUAAACAAAAUUAAGAGGUCCUUGGCAUUCUUCAUGAUGGGACUGAGACAUCGAUGAAGAAUGGGCAGGUCGAUCUUUCCAGUGGGAUGUUGUCCAGUGACAAUUCUAUAGUACUUCUGCAGUAAGUCUUCCAGACUUGACUUGCAAAAUGUCAUUGCAAGUGAUUGCAGAAGUACUAUAGAGCCAUCACAGGCCUGUUGUUGGAUCUCCCCCCGUACAUCCUGACAAGAUCUGUUUGAAACGCCUGCAGGAAGUGGACUGCAGCGAAUGUCUGUCAUCACUCUCCUGUGUCACCAAUGAUGCAACAUCAGUGGGAAAGUCAUCAUCGAAGUCUUUCUCCCGCACAUCCUGGAAAGACAGAUGGGGUGGGAUCAUUAAUUAAAAGACCACAAGGAAGUGCAUAGACGAAACACAUUAGAAAGUUGAAUGAAUUUUUUUUUAUUUUCAUCAUCUUACAGUUCUUAGCUCUCAAUCAAUUUAAGUGCAUAUCAGUCAUACACCAAUUACGUAAUAGACCCGUCAACAUGAUUCAGUUUGCGUGUUACAAAGUUUUCUGUAAAACAUCAUUGGAUAAACCUAUUAAUUUAAAAGCAUCACGAUAAUAACCGCUGUCUUUUUUACUUUCGAUGAAAUGACACGAUACGUACCAAAGAGGAUGUUUCCUCUGCAGUGGGUCUCUCCUCAACCUUGUCAUUUGUCACUUGGGUAUCGCCUGAAGUGCGCUAUAGAAUGUAAAACAUAAUAAUUGUAUGAAAAAAUGACAUAUAUUACACAUCACAGUUACUGUUAAUAACAUGUAUUAGGUACUUCAUUACAAAAAUUUGUUAAUCAAAAUUUCUAUCAAUAAAUUUAAAAAGAUUUACCUUCUGGUGAUCAAGUACUGCCUUACGGAGCUCCACGCGAUAAACCAAUGUGUUGGAAACCUCCAAUACACUGCAGACAUUUUUCCAAAAACCAGCUGGACUGUUCACACUGUAGUCCUUUAUAUUUCCACCGGGUUCAGAAAAUGUAUCGAUAGCUGAUACUAUUUCUUGGAGGCUUCUUUUCAGGUGUCUUCCCUUUGAAAUUAAAUAAGGCAAUAAAGCAUUUGCAUGACAACAUGCUUUGAAGCAGUAAAGGAUGUUGUGUCAGUGAAAUAUAAACUAUUUACAAAAAUAAAUACUUUUUGUGUUGUGUGAA